UACGGAGGAUGCAAGCGUUAUCCGGAUUCAUUGGGUUUAAAGGGUGCGUAGGCGGAAUAAUAAGUCAGUGGUGAAAUCUUGCAGCUUAACUGUAAAAUUGCCUCUGAUACUGUUAUUCUUGAGUGCAGUCGAGGUAGGCGGAAUGUGUAAUGUAGCGGUGAAAUGCUUAGAUAUUACACAGAACACCGAUUGCGUAGGCAGCUUACUAAACUGUAACUGACGCUGAGGCACGAAAGCGUGGGGAGCAAACAGG
rnacentral:rRNA from 1 species